rnacentral:rRNA from 1 species
UACGGAGGGUGCAAGCGUUGCUCGGAAUUACUGGGCGUAAAGGGCGUGUAGGCGGUUUUGUAUGUCUGGCGUGAAAGCCCCGGGCUCACCUCGGGAAGUGCGUUGGAAACUGCAAGACUAGAGUCCCGGAGAGGAAGGUGGAAUUCCAGGUGUAGCGGUGAAAUGCGUAGAUAUCUGGAAGAACACCGGUGGCGAAGGCGGCCUUCUGGACGGUGACUGACGCUGAGACGCGAAAGCGUGGGGAGCAAACAGG